rnacentral:rRNA from 1 species
UGAGGAAUAUUGGUCAAUGGGCGGGAGCCUGAACCAGCCAAGCCGCGUGAGGGAGGAAGGCCCUAUGGGUCGUAAACCUCUUUUGUCAGGGAACAAAAGCGAGUAUGUAUACUAGUCUGAGUGUACCUGAAGAAAAAGCAUCGGCUAACUCCGUGCCAGCAGCCGCGGUAAUACGGAGGAUGCGAGCGUUAUCCGGAUUUAUUGGGUUUAAAGGGUGCGUAGGCGGCGGUGCAAGUCAGCGGUAAAAGCCCGGGGCUCAACCUCGGCGAGCCGUUGAAACUGCAGUGCUAGAGAAGGCGAGAGGUACGCGGAAUGCGCAGUGUAGCGGUGAAAUGCUUAGAUAUUGCGCAGAACUCCGAUUGCGAAGGCAGCGUACUGGCGCCUGACUGACGCUGAGGCACGAAAGCGUGGGGAUCGAACAGGAUUAGAUACCC